rnacentral:ncRNA from 2 species
AAUUUAUACAGAAGAAGGGAGAGUCAGGCUCUGUGAACUUCUGGCAACUUCCGGCAUCCGGAUAAGUGCCUAACCUGGUCUAAACAAUAUUUAGAAACUAUAAAUU